rnacentral:rRNA from 1 species
AGGCUAUUGUAACUGAAGAGAACUGGAAAGUUCCACCGUAGAAGGUAAUAGUCCUGUAAGUGAAACGAGAAGACCACGAGUUAUGAUCCAGAGUACCACGAGACACGUGAAACCUUGUGGGAAGCAGGGAGGACCACCUCCCAAGGCUAAAUACUACCUGAUGACCGAUAGUGAAGCAGUACCGUGAGGGAAAGGUGAAAAGAACCCCGGGAGGGGAGUGAAAUAGAACCUGAAACCGUGUGCCUACAACCGCUCAGAGCCCCUUAUGAGGGUGAUGAGGUGCUUUUUGUAGAACGAGCCAACGAGUUACGGUAUGUAGCAAGGUUAAGUACUUAAGGUACGGAGCCGAAGGGAAACCGAGUCUGAAUAGGGCGACUAGUUGCAUGCCGUAGACCCGAAACCGGGUGACCUAUCCAUGGCCAGGUUGAAGCGAGGGUAAAACCUCGUGGAGGACCGAACCACGUUGCUGUUGAAAAAGCAUGGGAUGAGCUGUGGAUAGCGGAGAAAUUCCAAUCGAACCCGGAGAUAGCUGGUUCUCUCCGAAAUAGCUUUAGGGCUAGCGUCGAGUAUGAGUAGUGGAGGUAGAGCACUGAAUGGGCUAGGGGGCAUAGCGCUUACCGAACCUUAUCAAACUCCGAAUGCCACAUACUUUGAGCUCGGCAGUCAGACUACGAAUGAUAAGAUCCGUGGUCAAAAGGGAAACAGCCCAGAUCGUCAGCUAAGGUCCCAAAGUGUAAGUUAAGUGGGAAAGGAUGUGAGAUUUCUAAGACAACUAGGAUGUUGGCUUAGAAGCAGCCAUUCAUUAAAAGAGUGCGUAAUAGCUCACUAGUCGAGAGAUCUUGCGCCGAAAAUGUAACGGGGCUAAACUUACCACCGAAGCUACGGGCUUGAACUUAGUUCAAGCGGUAGGAGAGCGUCGUAACCGGGCUGAAGUCGU